rnacentral:rRNA from 1 species
UAGGGAAUCUUCCGCAAUGGGCGAAAGCCUGACGGAGCAACGCCGCGUGAGUGAAGAAGGUCUUCGGAUCGUAAAACUCUGUUAUUAGGGAAGAACAAAUGUGUAAGUAACUAUGCACGUCUUGACGGUACCUAAUCAGAAAGCCACGGCUAACUACGUGCCAGCAGCCGCGGUAAUACGUAGGUGGCAAGCGUUAUCCGGAAUUAUUGGGCGUAAAGCGCGCGUAGGCGGGUUUUUAAGGCUGAUGUGAAAGCCCACGGCUCAACCGUGGAGGGUCAUUGGAAACUGGAAAACUUGAGUGCAGAAGAGGAAAGUGGAAUUCCAUGUGUAGCGGUGAAAUGCGCAGAGAUAUGGAGGAACGCCAGUGGCGAAGGCGACUUUCUGGUCUGUAACUGACGCUGAUGUGCGAAAGCGUGGGGAUCAAACA